ACCUUGUGAUACCUGCAGUAUGCACAAAUUACAGAGCACACGUCUAACAGCGAAAUGUUUCAUAAAAUGUACCUUUCGCCUUUUCGGUGUUCCCUGUUCCUGAGGUGUACAGGUCACUGUUUCGGAGCAGACAUUUUCAACACUUUCAGUGUCAACUUCUGGGGAUGCACUUGGCUGGCUUGAUUUGUCUCCUCCCAUGUGUGAUGCUUGUGAUGGGGAUUCUUGCCCAGUUUCGUGAGUGUCAACCAAGACAGAGCACCACGAAGCAACUAUGGCUAUGAGCGGCGUGAUGCCCAUACUGAAGAGGAAACGUGAUCGUGUAUUUACCAGUUUGUGCUUCCUUGGGAGUCUACAGUAGGGAUGCUCCUCAUGAAGCUGCAUUGGCAUAUGUACCUGCAUAACAAUUUUUGGGAUGCAGCAGGUGUAAGAGGAUUGGCUGGCCGAUCCAACAUCGUACUGCAUCCUGCUUCAUUGUCCUGUAAAAACAAACACGGAGUCAGCAUAAUAACACACAGGGAGAGACACAAAGAGUAUGGCUGACUGAUGUUCAUGAUUACUGUAAUCGACAAAUAUC